GACUAAUACCGUAUGUUGUCCAUUGACGGCAUCCGAUUUGGACGAAAGGCUUGGCGGUGAGGGAUGGGGAUGCGUCCGAUUAGCCAGACGGCGGGGUAACGGCCCACCGUGGCGACGAUCGGUAGGGGUUCUGAGAGGAAGGUCCCCCACACUGGAACUGAGACACGGUCCAGACUCCUACGGGAGGCAGCAGUGAGGAAUAUUGGUCAAUGGGCGUAAGCCUGAACCAGCCAAGUAGCGUGCAGGACGACGGCCCUAUGGGUUGUAAACUGCUUUUAUGCGGGGAUAAAGUGGCCCACGUGUGGGUUUUUGCAGGUACCGCAUGAAUAAGGACCGGCUAAUUCCGUGCCAGCAGCCGCGGUAAUACGGAAGGUCCGGGCGUUAUCCGGAUUUAUUGGGUUUAAAGGGAGCGUAGGCCGCGCCUUAAGCGUGUUGUGAAAUCCGGGUGCUCAACAUCCGGCUUGCAGCGCGAACUGGGGCGCUUGAGUGCGCAGAAAGUAGGCGGAAUUCGUGGUGUAGCGGUGAAAUGCUUAGAUAUCACGAGGAACUCCGAUUGCGAAGGCAGCCUACUGUAGCGCUACUGACGCUGAUGCUCGAAAGCGUGGGUAUCGAACAGGAUUAGAUACCCUGGUAGUCCACGCGGUAAACGAUGGAUGCUCGUUGUCGGCCCUUUGGGUCGGUGACCAAGCGAAAGCGUUAAGCAUCCCACCUGGGGAGUACGCCGGCAACGGUGAAACUCAAAGGAAUUGACGGC
rnacentral:rRNA from 1 species